rnacentral:misc_RNA from 1 species
UUUCCGUAGGUGAACCUGCGGAAGGAUCAUUACCAAGUUUUCAUUGAAGUGGUUUUGUUCUUUCGGGGCCAGUGGACGCUUCUAUCAAUCCAUCUUACACAUGUGCACCUAGCGGGGAAUUCUUGGAUCUAAGUUGGGUCACGCCGGCGAUCUACAGUAACCUCUUUCUACCAAAUAACACUUUUAGUAAGUCUUUUUUCCUUUCUGCAACCUUAAAUAAAUACAACUUUCAGCAACGGAUCUCUUGGCUCUG